rnacentral:lncRNA from 1 species
UGAGCUAUGGGCAAUCUUUGACUCGAUGUACCAAUUUAUUAUACCAGUAGCAUCUAAUCUUGCUCAAGUCCUUCAACUUGGAUCUGGACCGCCCACCAUGUGAUCUUUUAUCGCUUCAUCCUCUGCCACCACUAUCUCUAGUCACCAUCAAAAUUGAGUCACUGUCUGAACUCGAGGCUUGAUUCUCUCACUUGAGAAUCUUAUUUUAGAAAAGUACAGAAGUAAUCUCAUCUAUUAUGAUGGUACUAUUCUCUAUAAGAAGAGCAGUCACCAAAGACUCAAAUAAAGAAAAAUGUAAUGAAAGUAAGAUCAAUGCCCUGGUCUUCUCUUUAACCUUCUCACCAAUGCUCAGGAGAUCAAUGAGGAUCUUC